GACGAACCGAGCGAACGUUGUUCGGAAUCACUGGGCUUAAAGGGCGCGUAGGCGGGUGCUCAAGUCCGGGGUGAAAUCCUCCAGCUCAACUGGAGAACUGCCUCGGAUACUGGGUGCCUCGAGGGUGAUAGGGGUAUGCGGAACUAUCGGUGGAGCGGUGAAAUGCGUUGAUAUCGAUAGGAACUCCGGUGGCGAAGGCGGCAUACUGGAUCACAUCUGACGCUGAGGCGCGAAAGCCAGGGGAGCAAACGGG
rnacentral:rRNA from 1 species